rnacentral:rRNA from 1 species
CUACGGGGUGCUGCAGUGAGGAAUAUUGCAAAAUGGGGGGAACCCUGAUGCAGCAACGCCGCGUGGAGGAUGACGCAUUUCGGUGUGUAAACUCCUUUUAUAUGUCAAGAAAAUGACGGUAGCAUAUGAAUAAGCACCGGCUACACUCCGUGCCAGCAGCCGCGGUAAUACGGAGGGUGCAAGCGUUACUCGGAAUCACUGGGCGUAAAGGACGCGUAGGCGGGUUGGAAAGUCAGGUGUGAACUCCUACAGCUUAACUGUAUAACUGCACUUGAAACUUCUAAUCUAGAGUAUGGGAGGGGGAGAUGGAAUUAGUGGUGUAGGGGUAAAAUCCGUAGAUAUCACUAGGAAUACCUAAAGCGAAGGCGAUCUCCUGGAACAUUACUGACGCUAAGGCGUGAAAGCGUGGGGAGCAAACAGGAUUAGAUACCCCGGUAGUC